AUGGACUCUGAGGCUGAAUCUGAAGAAAAUGAGGAAGAGGAGACAUCUGAGAAGUCCGAAUCCGGAGUGGCGAGCCUAGCUCUCGCUACUGCAUUCGUCAGCAAGUCUAUCUUCAACACUGAAGAAAAUGACCUCACCAACAAGGCUGAUGAAAGCGAUGAUGACUACGCUCCCACCUAUUGCUUCAUGGCAAAGGGUGCCAAGGUACUCAAAUAUACCUCCUCUGAAUCAAGUGAGAAUGAAUCUGAUGAAAACCUUAAGCCCGACUAUUCUAAACUUGCUAAGAUUGCUAUAAAACAACAAAGGGCUUUAGAAGAGGUUCAAAACAUGCUAAAUAAAAGUGAUGAUAUGUUGGGUGAAGAAAUGGAUCGCACUGAAACUUUGACUGAAAAUCUUUAG
rnacentral:rRNA from 1 species